CCAUUUUGUGGCAGAUUACUGUAACGCUAUUGUACGACAACUUCCUGCCUCUUUUGGCUCCGCUUCUAAAAACACUGCGAAAGGGCCGAGCUCGUGGGCUCCAAACUUUUUCUCUCUUUUUUUUUUUUUUUUUUUUUUCCUCCCCUCUUCCCCUUCGGCCUCGAACCGGCGCAGCGUCUAUUCGGAGAGAAAAAGGAGGAAAGGGGAGCCGUAAAACAGUCUGUUUCAGAGGAACUAUUCCGAUUUCGUUUCUGCUUUUCUAAAGUGCUGCCGGUUUAAAGAGGGCAAACGAGGACUGCAUGCCUAGCAAGAGACAAUGAGAGGAAAAAAAAAAGAGAGAGAGAGAGAAGGAUUCCGAAAGAACACAAGGAGGAAAAGAGACACGGAGAGAAAAGGAGCAAGGGAGAACUCCUCCUGGGAACAGGCUGGAAAUUAUGGACCUAUUCAAUAUGAGACCUCAGACUGGACAACCCAUCCUGGGAGGGACGCGCCCUGACUGUAGCUAACAACUACUUCUGGCAGCCCCUCUCAGGAGUUGGCUAUAUUGUGCCGGAUCGGGUCCGCUUUCAUGUGACAGCGUCAAACUAAUGCAACUUAGGCCACAGGUUCACAUGGAUAUCAGCAAUAUCACAUAAAAGCUGUUAUAAGGACAUGUUAAACACAAAUUGAGGCAUCCUUUGGGGGCAGCAAUCUGUGACAGGGUGGCCGUUUAGCUUCUUUUUUAAGGCGUCAGAGCAAAGCAUGAAAGAGAAGAUUUUUUAUUUUUUUUUUACACAACAGAAAACGAGAAAGUAAGGAUCGUUUUUAAAUCAAGAACAUUAGGUUUUUGUGAAAUUUUUUUAUUUUUUUUAAAUGUACCGUGCCUGGUCAAGGGCUAUCACCAGUCUCCCAGGAAACAACUUUAAGUAAAAUUACGAUAGUUUCACUGCGUUGGAUUUAAACACAGAGCCCAAACUGCUGGUAAAUUAAGAUAUUUUCAUGAUUAUAGUUUAAAGAACACUAUCUGUUACAUUUAUUUAGCAUUAUUUUCAAAGUAUUAUCAAGACCCAAGCAAAAUGACACUUUUACCACUCGAUAAACUUAGUUUCCAAAGGCUUAUAGUGCCGAAUAUUAUACAUUUUUUCUGUUCUGCACUGUUUAGUGUCACAAGCAUAACAAUCUGAUUUUAGAUGUUUUUUUUAUUUAACCUUCAUUUAACCAGGUGAGACGAUCUAGAUCUAGAACUAGUUCUCAUUUUCAAUGUCGACCUGGGCGAAAGGCAGCAGCAAAAGCCAACGUCUGAAGCUGUAGCUUUAAAACUAAAUAGGAGGGAGCUUGGUUUUCACACCCUGACUGUCCAUGUUUUUUUUUUUUUUUAACGGCUAGAAAUAUUUGCAAAACAGACAAUUUUCUCUUCCUGGUACUUAUAUAUCCUGGUACUUAUAUACGUUCUUGCCUUCUUUCAGCUGCGUGACUGGCAGCGUACAGCAACAGGUGGGGGCAGGGACAUUGUUCCAGAAGUAUAUGCUCCGUACAAACGUUGAGCUGAUUUUUCUGGCAUCUCAGUAAAAAGGACUUUAAACCGCAGGAACGGUAGGACCGAUUUAAAACCUCGGUCCUGGUGGGUGCCGGUAACAGAACCAGGCCUGUGGUAGAAACAGGCUGCUUUCCCAAAACCUGAAUUAUCUGAUGUCCUUUUAUGAUGAUGAACCUUAAGUCUCAAUGUUUCAUAAACACUUUGAUGUCGGAAGUAAACCGAAUGCUAUCAGUGCUUGGUGCAUAUAGCAUGUAUUUUGCACUUUUUAAAUUUUAUUUAUGUCUGUGUUCAUCCUGUUCCAUUCAGCCGGAGUAAAUUCUGGUCAACCCCAGGACUUCCUCUGCAUGUCUUUAAAUCACAGGAACAUUGUGACGGAAAAUUUUACCGCCUUUGAGCGGUAAUUUUUAAAACUUUGAUGCACUUCAAUUCCAGUAACUGACCAUGACCUUAAGUGUGACCUUACGUGUCAUGCAACUCAUAGUGUCCGGGAUUUCUAAGUCUUCGGAUUGAUUUUUUUUUUUUUUUUUAAAACAGGAUUUUGACAAAAAUAGCAUUGUUUCAGAGAUAGGUUUAAACUGUAAAAAUAUUAGGUACUACUGAAAUUAAAACUGGUAUGCAGAGACAGCUAAUAAAAAGCUCUUUCACGCGUUUGUUUUUAACGUUUGAUAAAUGUUUUAUCACCA